GCUACUGUCACUAAAGUCGCGCAUGACGCUGCUUUUGUCAGAAGUCAAUCUGGCAAGUCAAGCCACGUGGUGCUCGAGAGGGCACAAAAACACAACAGUCUUAUAUGACGGAAAUACGCGAAGUCUCCGGUCUUCCUCCGCGGAUGAGUUCAUAUACCAGUCCACAUGACCUGGAAAUGGUUCGCUUUGACCAGACUGAUGUCGGUCAAAAUCCGUUAAAUGCAAACUGGAGCGCUGUAAGUGGGGGUAAACGUGACAAAUUCAUGUGGAGGGGAUCAGGUGGAUCCAGGUUAGAAGUUGUGAAAUAUUUGUGUAAGAUCCGCUGUUUAAUAGAGGAAUAGAAGCUGGGAGUCAAACGUGUAGGGAAAUCCGCCUGUUGCUGUUGUAUUAAAUUGUUACGUUUAUGGUGCUCUUACAUUACAAGGACACACAACCUCACUCAGACUAAAGCAGCCUUUCCAGAACAGCAUGUAGAUGCAGUAGAAGGUGGCAGCGCCUUCUUAAACUGUCUUGUGGAAAACCAGCGCAAUGUGGAGAAGUUAACAGUGGAGUGGUCCAAGUGGUCCAAAGAUGGAGUGAAAGAGUGCGUCCACCUCUAUAAACACAGAAAAGACCAAGUUGCCAACCAGGAUGAGAAGUUCAGAGGCAAGGCCAACCUCAAACAUGAAGGCUUGAAAGGUGGAAUUGUGACCCUGGAGCUGCAGUUUGUCCACCUGUCCAACAGUGGACGAUACAUCUGCUACAUUCCCAGGCUGGACCACCACUGUUACAUCAUCCUCAAUAUUGUUUCUGCUGGACAAAACAACAUGACAAAGGGAGAAAACUCCAGCACAACUGGACCUCCAGAUGAGGACAACCAAGGUCAUCUAAACCGGAACUUUGGCAGAGCUAUCGUGCUUUCCAUCGUUUUCCUUAUCUUCAGCAUUUUCAUCGUCAUCCUGAUCAUACUGGCCCGACGUCAUGCAGCAAUGAAGUCUGAAAUGAAGAGAACGAAGAGAACCAGCUCAUAUGAUCCUGAAAAUCAACUACCAGAAGGUGUCUCUAUCACCUCUGAGCUCCACCCCAGAGAUCAGCAUUAACCAGGCCUCAGCGCCACGUCUGGUCACACACACAGACACACACAGUUGUCUAAGUAAAGGGAUAAAAAUAUGACGUAUUUGGUCAGUGGUUCCCAACCUUUUUUUGGCUCUUGACCCCAUUUUAACAUCACAAAUUUUUGGCAACCCCAGGGAUUAAAAACAGAAACAUUUUUUUGGCUAAAAUUAAUUUGUUUCUGAUCAUGUAAUAGUUUGCUAUACUAUGUUGCAAAUAAACAUUAAUUUUAGACAACAUUUAGUCUAUAUAAUGUACAUUUUUAUGGCUGGAGGCAGAAAAGCCAGGUGUAGAUUACUGCACGAAGUGAGAAUUUGAUUUUCCUUGGUCAGGAUAUGUACAGUCAGUCAAGCUUGGAUUUACAAGGCUGACAAUUAAUACUGAACAAACAAGAACUCAAACUAUGAAUUAUGAAAGAGCUGAAGCAUCUGAAACCGACCACAAUGAACAUUUGAAAGAUAAACAGUACCACAGUGCUUCAGUUUCAGCUUCACAGUUUGUCAUGUCUUUUAUAUAUUGGGAUUGUCCCUGUCAACUCACCAUAUAUUUUUUAUUUCUAAGUUGUUGGGUUUUUUUUAUCAAUUGCUAGAAAUUUCAGGCAACCCCACAGUUGAAAAACACUGCCCUAAGGUUUGUUUUUUUGGCUGAAGUCUUGGUGAUAAUGUCCUGUUUACCUCUUUGUCUCUUUCAGUUACUGUGGAUGUUUUCAAACUGCAGCAUCUUUUAUAAAUAAAGCCCAGUUACUGUAUGUUCAUAUCAUUAAAAAAAAUAUACUAAUUUUAUUUGAAAUAUGUCACUUUCAGCAUCAGCUACUGUUUGUUUUUUCUUCAGUUUCUUUUUAUUUCUUUUGUUUAAAUCAAAGCACUUUUUGUACAUGUUCUUGUCUUUUCCCAUUUUAUAAAUAAAUUGAUUUCACUCUUUAAAAA
ensembl:lncRNA